rnacentral:rRNA from 1 species
GUCUUAUUGAUUUUUAAUUUUAAGUCUGUCCUGCUCAAUGAUUUUUAAUUAAAUAGCUGCGGUAUUAUAAUCGUACAAAGGUAGCAUAAUAAUUUGUCUUUUAAUUGGAGGCUAGUAUGAAGGGUUUGAUGAGAAAUAAUCUUUUUUAAUUUUAAUUUUUGAAUUUAAUUUUUUAGUUAAAAAGCUAAAAUUUUUUUAUGGGACGAGAAGACCCUAUAGAAUUUUAUCAUUUUUUUCUUUUUUAUAAUUUUUGUUAAUGUUUUAUUUUAUUUAUAUUUUGAUUUUGUUGGGGUGAUAUAAAAAUUUAAUUGACUUUUUAUUAUUUUUUCAUUAAUUUAUGUUUUAUUUGAUCCUGAUUUUUUUAGAUUAUAAGAUUAAUAUUACCUUAGGGAUAACAGCGUUAUUUUUUUGGAGAGUUCUAAUCGAUAAAAAAGUUUGCGA